rnacentral:rRNA from 1 species
CCUACGGGAGGCAGCAGUGAGGAAUAUUGGUCAAUGGGCGCGAGCCUGAACCAGCCAAGUAGCGUGCAGGAUGACUGCCCUACGGGUUGUAAACUUCUUUUAUAAGGGGAUAAAGUGCGGCACGUGUGCCUCUUUGCAUGUACCUUAUGAAUAAGGAUCGGCUAACUCCGUGCCAGCAGCCGCGGUAAUACGGAGGAUCCGAGCGUUAUCCGGAUUUAUUGGGUUUAAAGGGAGCGUAGGCGGGUUGUUAAGUCAGUUGUGAAAGUUUGCGGCUCAACCGUAAAAUUGCAGUUGAUACUGGCAUCCUUGAGUACAGUAGAGGUAGGCGGAAUUCGUGGUGUAGCGGUGAAAUGCUUAGAUAUCACGAAGAACUCCGAUUGCGAAGGCAGCUUGCUGGACUGCCACUGACGCUGAUGCUCGAAAGUGUGGGUAUCAAACAGGAUUAGAUACCCUAGUAGUC